rnacentral:misc_RNA from 1 species
GAAGCAGAAAACUUAUGAAGAAAUUCAAGAUUAUGGAGCUCUCUUUUUGUCACACAUAUCUGAAGAAAUCACUGACUCACCAACAUUUUCAGAUGGUGUUCCAAAAGAAGGACUUAGAAUACCAGAUGUGCUUGUUAGGAUAGCUGUCUUGCUUCUUAUAAGGGACAAGGUGAAGGCUUUUUCAGAAAUGACAGGUGGCUCUCUUUUUGCCGAUGAUAUUAUGUCUCGGUACCCUGGAUUGAAAGGUGGAAAACAUUGGAAGGAUGAGCACGAUCUGCUGUUGCUACGGGCCUUGUUAAAACAUGGUUAUGGAAGAUGGCAGACAAUUGUUGAUGACAAGGAGUUGAGCAUCCAAGAGAUCAUCUGCAAAGAACUGAAUCUUUCCGUCAUAAAUUUACCCGUUCCUGGAGCUUCUCAACCACAAGUUGCUCCUGCUCGAGGACCUUCACAGGAUCUUCCAGCUUCCGGAGUUCCCCAAGCAGAAUUUACUGUUCCCGGAGCUUUUCAACCACCACAUGGUGUAAAUACAGCAAAUGCUGGGUCUGUUGGAGGUCAGGUGAAAGCUACUGGUGAUGGGAAUACCUGUGGAGCUGAACUUUCGCAUGGGACAAGUGAUCCUUCAAACCGACAAGUUAUCCAAGAUUCGUCUUCAUUGUAUCAUCAUUAUAGAGAGAUGCAGAGAAAACAAGUUGAAUUCAUCAAGAAAAGGGUGCUACUUCUUGAGAAGGGCCUUAAUGCAGAAUAUCAGAAAGAAGCCUUCGAUGAUGAAAAAUCUCAUGAACUGCCCAAUGAAGGGAUGGCGUGUGAUACCAAGGUUGUGGAUGAACCAAAUCGAAAUGUUGAAGAAGCCAAUACUGAAAUGACUGACCAUUCCCCAAGACUAGUAGCAAUUUCUCCACAGGGAAUCUCUCAAGUUGCUUGUGAUAGUAAACCAGACCGUUUAAGUGUUGCAGAGCUUUAUAACAAGAUGUGCCUGGUACUUUCUGGAAAUGUCCAAGACUCAUUUAAUGAGAGUCACCCUAGUUCAGGGAUGAAAAAGAACAUCCUUCCGCUGGAAGCAAUUUGUC